ACUUUUAACAACGGAUCUCUUGGUUCUCGCAUCGAUGAAGAACGUAGCAAAGUGCGAUAACUAGUGUGAAUUGCAUAUUCAGUGAAUCAUCGAGUCUUUGAACGCAACUUGCGCUCAUUGGUAUUCCAAUGAGCACGCCUGUUUCAGUAUCAAAA
rnacentral:rRNA from 1 species